rnacentral:misc_RNA from 1 species
GAUGAAGAACGUAGCGAAAUGCGAUAAGUAGUGUGAAUUGCAGAAUUCAGUGAAUCAUCGAAUCUUUGAACGAACAUUGCGCCCCUUGGUAUUCCAUGGGGCAUGCCUGUUCGAGCGUCAUUUGUACCUUCAAGCUUUGCUUGGUGUUGGGUGUUUGUCCAUUCUCUUGCAGAGGGACUCGCCUUAAAGUAAUUGGCAGCCAGUGUUUUGGUUUUGAAGCGCAGCACAAGUCGCGAUUCAACGCUAUACGCCAGCUUCCACAAGCCUUUUUCACUUUUGACCUCGGAUCAGGUAGGGAUACCCGCUGAACUUAAGCAUAUCAAUAAGCGGAGGA